rnacentral:rRNA from 1 species
AUGAUAUGUUUUAACUGUGGUGGCCCUGGGCACUAUGUGGGUAAUUGUGUUAGACCUAAAGCUUGUUUUAUCUGCCAACAAUCCCACAAUGUGAACAACUGCUUUGCUUGGACUAGGGUUCAACCCACUGCAGCUUUCUUUGGGAGUGGUGCUAGUGGCCUGGGCUUUUAUGAUGUUGAGGUUCCUGUGGCAAAUGAAUCCAAAUGGCUCAAUUUCCAAAACUGUGGUGUGGUUAACAUUACCAAGGGUGAAGUGGACAAGGAUAAAUUGGUGAGUCUUCUGACUGCUACUUUUUGUAAAACCAGAGCUUGGCCUUGGCAGAUUAGGGAGUUAUCCAGUAAAGAGUUUCUGGUCAGAUUCCCUCCAUGGAAGAAAGUAGAGGAUUUAAUUGAACUUCAUGGUUUCAGUUUACCCCAAGAUAUAUCUGUCAAAAUGACUGAAUGGACUGGGUCUUGUGACCCAUUUGGUGAACUACUUGAGGCAUGGGUGCUGAUUGAGGGGAUUCCUCCUAAGUGGUGCUCCUGGAAAGUGUUUGCACAAAUUGCAUCCAUGUUUGGGGUGCUCACUGAUGUUGAUUGGAAUGGCAUGUUUAGAACAUUUUAUGAAAAUGUGAGGAUUAAGAUUGCUUGCAGAGACCCUAGGAAAAUUCCUUUCGAGAGGUUGAUUGAGAUGAAGAAGAAGCUAUUCUUGCUUGGUUUCACUGUGGAGGGUUUUGAGCAGGUGGGAGGCAAAGGUUCUGUGGUAGAAAUUGAAGAUGAGAAUGAGGAUGACAACUUUGAGGAAGACAAUGGUAACCAAGAACCACAUGAUCUACCCAAGAACAAUGAUGAUGAACUCAUUGAUGAUGACACUGCCAUUGAUGAUCUUGAUAAGGCAAACUUUACAUCCAGGGGUGUCACAAGUUCUUCUGCUGGGAAAAAAGCAUGCAACACGCUGUCUGACUGUCAGGGGGAUGAUCAGGGAAACUUCAUUCUAGAGUGCCUCUCAAACAAGAGGAAUGUUGAUGAGGGUGGUAUGAAUGGGGAGGUGUGUUCCAUGAAUAAGGGUACCCUGAUUGACAAAAGAGAUGGGGUUUGUACUCCUGAAAAGACCUGGUUAAAAAGAGAUGAUGAUGGUAACCAAAGUGACAGUAUGAGCUACUAUUUGGAUCUUCUGAAAUCAGUGGACAUGUCUGUAUCUGAUGAUGAUGAAAGUGUUGAAGAGGUGGAAGUGGGAGUUCUCUCCCCUGGUACAGUUCAGAAAAUGCAGGAGUCUGGUAUAAAACGUUCACUGUUGGAGAUUUUGGACCAAGCCCGAUCUGGUGGAAACAAGACAAGAACAUAA